UUGGAGGGCAAGUCUGGUGCCAGCAGCCGCGGUAAUUCCAGCUCCAAUAGCGUAUAUUAAAGUUGUUGCAGUUAAAAAGCUCGUAGUUGAAUUUCGGGGUUAGUAGGUUGGUCAUGCCUCAGGUAUGUACUGAUCUCACUGAUUCCUCCUUCCUGACGAACCGUAAUGCCAUUAAUUUGGUGUUGCGGGGAGACUGGACUGUUACUUUGAAAAAAUUAGAGUGUUUAAAGCAGGCUAACGCUUGAAUACAUUAGCAUGGAAUAAUGAAAUAGGACGUUCGAUCCUAUUUUGUUGGUUUCUAGGAUUGACGUAAUGAUUAAUAGGGAUAGUUGGGGGCAUUAGUAUUCAAUUGUCAGAGGUGAAAUUCUUGGAUUUAUUGAAGACUAACUACUGCGAAAGCAUUUGCCAAGGAUGUUUUCAUUAAUCAAGAACGAAAGUUAGGGGAUCGAAGACGAUCAGAUACCGUCGUAGUCUUAACCAUAAACUAUGCCGACUAGGGAUCGGAUGAUGUUAAUUUUUUAAUGACUCAUUCGGCGCCUUACGGGAAAC
rnacentral:rRNA from 1 species